UUUAAUAUGGCAGAAAAUUGCAAUAAAUUUAAGAUUUAUAGAUAAAGAUUUAUUCUUUUGUUAAAA
rnacentral:tRNA from 1 species